GGAGGAGCAGGAUGAUGUAGCUGACCUAUCAUGGAGGAGCAGGGUGAUGAUGUAGCUGACCAAUCAUGGAGGAGCAGGAUGAUGAUGUAGCUGACCUAUCAUGGAUGAGCAGGAUGAUGAUGUAGCUGACCUAUCAUGGAGGAGCUGAAUGAUGUAGCUGACCUAUCAUGGAGGAGAGGGGUGAUGAUGUAGCUGACCUAUCAUGGAGGAGCAGGAUAAUGAUGAAGCUGACCUGUCAUGGAGGAGCAGGGGUGAUGAUGUAGCUGACCUAUCAUGGAGGAGCAGGGGAGAUGAUGUAGCUGACCUAUCAUGGAGGAGCAGGAGUGAUGAUGUAGCUGACCUAUCGUGGAGGAGCAGGAUGAUGAUGUAGCUGACCUAUCAUGGAGGAGCAGGGGUGAAAAUGUAGCUGACCUAUCAUGGAGGAGCAGGGGUGGUGAUGUAGCUGACCUAUCAUGUAGGACCAGGAUGAUGUAGCUGACCUUUCAUGGAGGAGCAGGAUGAUGUAGCUGACCUAUCAUGGUGGAGCAGGGUGAUGAUGUAGCUGACCUAUCAUGGAGGAGCAGGAUGAUGAUGUAGCUGACCUAUCAUGGAGGAGCAGGGGUGAUGAUGUAGCUGACCUAUCAUGGAAGAGCAGGGUGAUGAUGUAGCUGACCUAUCAUGGAGGAGCAGGCUGAUGAUGUAGCUGACCUAUCAUGGAGGAGCAGGAUGAUGAUGUAGCUGACCUAUCAUGGAGGAGCAGGAGUGAUGAUGUAGCUGACCUAUCAUGGAGGAGCAGGGGUGAUGAUGUAGCUGACCUAUCAGGGAGGAGCAGGAUGAUGAUGUAGCUGACCUAUCAUGGAGGAGCAGGGGUGAUGAUGUAGCUGAC
rnacentral:lncRNA from 1 species